rnacentral:rRNA from 1 species
CAUGUAGGUGGAUACUUAAGUCUGUUGUGAAAAUGCAGGGCUCAACCCCGUAUUGCGAUGGAAACUGGGUGUCUUGAGUGCAGGAGAGGAAAGGGGAAUUCCCAGUGUAGCGGUGAAAUGCGUAGAUAUUGGGAGGAACACCAGUGGCGAAGGCGCCUUUCUGGACUGUGUCUGACACUGAGAUGCGAAAGCUAGGGGAGCGAACG